CCCAAAUGUAGGACCUGGCACUUGGCCUUACUGAACUCGUACCUUUGGCCUCAGCCCAUCAAUCCAGCAAGUCCAGAUCCUCUGCAGAACCUUCCUGAAGCAGACCAACAUUCCUUCCAGCUUGGUGUCAUCUGCAAACUGACAGAUCCAUGCCUGACCACCUUUUCCAGAUUGUUGAUAGGGAUAUCAAAUAGAACAGGCCCCAGUGCUGAGACCUGGGGAACCCUGGCACCCAUGGCUGGCUGCCAGCUCCAGCUGGAUCUAACUCCACUCCCCACCACUCUCUGGGCCCAGCCCCACAGCCAGUUCUGUACCCAAACAGUGCCACCUCCAUGAGGAACCAUUUUCUCCAGGAGAAUGCUGUGGGAAAUGGCAUCAAAUGCUUUAUUAAGCUCCUGGGAAACGAGAGGCAUGUACUGAGUGGAUCAUCUUGCCAUGGGAGGUGCUUUAUUAAGCUCCUGGGAAACAAGAGGCAUGUGCUGAGUGGAUCAUCUUGCCAUGGGAGGAGGUCAUGUCUGUCCAACAGGCCUUACAUCCAGUUCCUCAGCCUCUUCCUCUCCUUCGUCACUGUCUUACCCCCCCUGCAAUCCAGUAAAGGCUGGAGAUUGUCCUGAGCCCCCUUUUCAUUGCUAAUGUACUUAUGGGAACAUUUUUUAUUGUCUUUUACAGCACUGGGUAAAUUAACUUCCAGUCAGGCUUUGGCCUUUCUGAUUUUCCCCCUGCUCUCAACCCCUUGAAAACUGUGUAGGCCUCCUGCCCCUUCUUGCAAAGAUCCUAAACACUCUGGUUUCAUGAGAGUUCCAUGUGGGUUCCAUGACAGUUCCACCUGGGUUCCAUCUGCCCGGGCGGGCUGUGGCCAUGGAGCCCUGGUGCCGUGUCCCUCUGUGACAUGGGAGGGGACGCGUCCCCAGGCACCAGCGCUGCGCUGUCACCCUGCAGUGCGGCUCCGGCAGCGGCCAUGGCUGGAAAGCUCACCAAAAUCCUGCUGGUGCUGGCCAUCCUCCAGCACGGGCUGAGGGCACAUGCCCAGGCAGCGCAGACCAAGGCAGAGGUCCUGAGGCAGCAUGAGGAACAGCACAGCCGGAUGACUUGGCUGGCCAGAACUGGAAGGAUCACCCAAAUCCUGGUGCUGCUGGGCAUCCUCCAGUACGCAGUGAGGAUGGAUCUUCCAUCAGUGAAGGUCACAGAAGAGUUCAUGAAGCAACACGAGAAGGAGCGCACUGUGGAGAUGGCCCAGCUACUGGUGAUGGAGCAGAAGAUGCAAAAGCAGCCUGGAAUCACCCCAGGAAGAAUGCUCCUCUUGGCUUGCCAGGAGUGGUGGUUCUGGGUCAGUGCUGAAAUCCUCCUUGUGCUCUUUGGGAUCUACUGGCUGCCCAGGCAGAGGAGCUCUGAGUGUGACGAUGGCAGCCAAGGGGAAACCUCCACCAGUGCCCAGGAGCAGAUAGAGGAGGAAGAGGAGAACAGUGAGGAUAAUCCUGACACUUAUGACAUGCCAGAGAAGCCCCCAGAUAAGAGCUGGGCACUGUGGAGGAUCUGGAGGCGAGACACCCCUGUGGCUGUGGAGAGCAGCGACCAGAAAACAUGCUGUGCUACCUCCCCUCCCGGCUGAGCAGACAAACAAGAGUCCACAUCUCCACUUCCUGUGCAGCCCCUGCAAAUAGUCCCAGUUUUGAUGCUACCCCUGCCAGGAAGUGUGGAAUGCUUUGUAAAUACAUUCAUAAAAUUGUUUAUUUGUUUUAAUAAAUCCUGUUUGAGCAAGAGAGUGU
rnacentral:lncRNA from 12 species